GUACACUCCUACGGGAGGCAGCAGUGGGGAAUUUUGGACAAUGGGCGAAAGCCUGAUCCAGCAAUGCCGCGUGAGUGAAGAAGGCCUUCGGGUUGUAAAGCUCUUUUGUCAGGGAAGAAACGGUGAGAGCUAAUAUCUCUUGCUAAUGACGGUACCUGAAGAAUAAGCACCGGCUAACUACGUGCCAGCAGCCGCGGUAAUACGUAGGGUGCAAGCGUUAAUCGGAAUUACUGGGCGUAAAGCGUGCGCAGGCGGUUUUGUAAGUCUGAUGUGAAAUCCCCGGGCUCAACCUGGGAAUUGCAUUGGAGACUGCAAGGCUAGAAUCUGGCAGAGGGGGGUAGAAUUCCACGUGUAGCAGUGAAAUGCGUAGAUAUGUGGAGGAACACCGAUGGCGAAGGCAGCCCCCUGGGUCAAGAUUGACGCUCAUGCACGAAAGCGUGGGGAGCAAACAGGAUUAGAUACCCGUGUAGUCCC
rnacentral:rRNA from 1 species